rnacentral:rRNA from 1 species
UAAGGAAUAUUGGACAAUGGAGGCAACUCUGAUCCAGCCAUGCCGCGUGAAGGAAUAAGGCCCUAUGGGUUGUAAACUUCUUUUAGACGGGACAAAACCCCUUUACGUGUAAAGGGUUGAUGGUACUGUCAGAAUAAGCAUCGGCUAACUUCGUGCCAGCAGCCGCGGUAAUACGAAGGAUGCAAGCGUUAUCCGGAAUUAUUGGGUUUAAAGGUUGCGUAGGCGGACUAAUAAGUCAGUGGUGAAAGCCUGCAGCUUAACUGCAGAAUUGCCAUUGAUACUGUUAGUCUUGAGUACAGUUGAGGUAGGCGGAAUGUGUCAUGUAGCGGUGAAAUGCUUAGAUAUGACACAGAACACCGAUUGCGAAGGCAGCUUGCUAAGCUGUAACUGACGCUGAGGCACGAAAGCGUGGGGAGCAAACA